AUGUUUUCUCUGUCCUUAGACAACCAACAAACACAUGACCUUCAAAUCUACCAGGUAAAUUGUAAUUGUAAACUCCACAUUUUCCAUCAAUCUUCCAUCACAAACCAUUACCAUUUUAUAUUGUGUUCACAAACCAUUACCAUUUUAUACUGUGUUAUAGACACGUCCCUUAAAUUCACAUCAUCUUAUGCAUGGUGCAAACUUGAGGCUACGCUAGGCAUUUUCCUUGAUAAAUAA